AGUUCAAUGGAAGUGCUGUUAUCUGCCUUUUACAGAAUAUGAAUUUGAAGCUCAGAGGAUUGCCUCAGGUUCCUUAGGUUACACAUUUGUUAAGUGACACUACCACAUCUUGAAUUCAUAUCUGUCUGAGUAAAAAAAUUCAUACCUUGAAUACUAUAGCAGCUGGUAUGUGAUUUUUACAAUAAAAAAAUUCAUGCUUUUAUUGAGAUGAAAUCUGUAUUGCUCUAGCUUAGAUUCUUUGUGUACCUACAAUGCCAUUUACUAUUGUACCUCUCUCUCACCUGAAAGCUUAUCUGUACCCUAGAACUUAAAGUAUAAUUUAAAAAACAAAUACAUAUAUAUAAUAUAUAUAUUACUAUUCUUGGCAAUAAAGCUUUAGUAAGGACUAUACUUCUUUCCCAUCUGCCACAAAAAGAUAAUAACCUUCACACAAAACAUGCCACACAAGAAAAAAGCUAAAUAAAAUGGACUUUAAGACUUCCAUACAAACAAAUCAAGAGAUCUAAAAAGAAGUGGCAAGAUCAUAGAGUGAAAAUAUCUCUUAUUUAUAUUUGUGAACAAGUAAAGUAGGCUUCACAUGAAGAGAUGUUUUCAAAUAAGGAAUAAAAAAAGAAAAAUGAUAAUUAAUGACUAUUACGCUUUUAGAUUUUUAUCUCACACAAAAAGGGUCAGCCAUGGGGAAUAGUAUAUUGACCCCAAAGCCUGCACAUUGUUUUAAGUUUUUCUAUUAUAUUUGAAUAAUCUAUACAUACAAUAUAAUAUGAUCAUUCAGAGAGCAACAUUUAGUUUUGGUCCACACAAGAAAUUAUUUUCUGCAAGUGUGUUACCCUUCCAGCCACUCCUUUCCU
rnacentral:lncRNA from 1 species